rnacentral:rRNA from 1 species
GUCCACGCUGUAAACGAUGGGCACUAGGUGUUCGGGGUAUUGACCCCCUGAGUGCCGCAGCUAACGCAUUAAGUGCCCCGCCUGGGGACUACGGCCGCAAGGUUAAAACUCAAAGGAAUUGACGGGGCCCGCACAAGCGGUGGAGCAUGUGGUUUAAUUCGACGCAACGCGAAGAACCUUACCUGGGCUAGACAACGUCGGACCGCUCUAGAAAUAGAGCUUUCCCGCAAGGGACUGGCGGUUCAGGUGCUGCAUGGCUGUCGU